UACAGAGGGGGCAAGCGUUGUUCGGAAUUACUGGGCGUAAAGGGCGCGUAGGCGGCCUUCUAAGUCGAACGUGAAAUCCCUGGGCUCAACCCAGGAACUGCGUCCGAUACUGGGAGGCUUGAAUCCGGGAGAGGGAUGCGGAAUUCCAGGUGUAGCGGUGAAAUGCGUAGAUAUUAGGAAGAACACCGGUGGCGAAGGCGGCCCACUGGUCCGGUACUGACGCUGAGGUGCGAAAGCGUGGGGAGCAAACAGG
rnacentral:rRNA from 1 species